AAGACUAUACUUUCAGGGAUCAUUUCUAUAGUUUGUAACUAGAGAUGUGUGGUAAUUAAUCUGUAUAGUAUUUCUGA
rnacentral:snoRNA from 1 species